rnacentral:rRNA from 1 species
UAGGGAAUCUUCCACAAUGGACGAAAGUCUGAUGGAGCAACGCCGCGUGAGUGAAGAAGGUUCUCGGAUCGUAAAACUCUGUUGUGAGGGAAGAACAAGUACCGGAGUAACUGCCGGUACCUUGACGGUACCUCAUUAGAAAGCCACGGCUAACUACGUGCCAGCAGCCGCGGUAAUACNUAGGUGGCAAGCGUUGUCCGGAAUCAUUGGGCGUAAAGCGCGCGCAGGCGGUCCCUUAAGUCUGAUGUGAAAGCCCACGGCUCAACCGUGGAGGGUCAUUGGAAACUGGGGGACUUGAGUGCAGAAGAGGAAAGCGGAAUUCCAAGUGUAGCGGUGAAAUGCGUAGAGAUUUGGAGGAACACCAGUGGCGAAGGCGGCUUUCUGGUCUGUAACUGACGCUGAGGCGCGAAAGCGUGGGGAGCAAACAGGAUUAGAUACCCCUGGGAUAGUCCACGGCCGUAAACGAUGAGUGCUAAGUGUUAGGGGG